AGAUGUGGUGGUGUGAGAAGAUGCUCUUUUCGCGAAGGGAGACAAAUGACUAUUGAGCCUGGUCCGCUCACCCGUGUGGGUACAUUUUAUAUACAGAGAGAAAUCUAGCAUAAAGUGCAGCAAAUGGAUGGACGCACAGAAAAACAGGAGACGGGGGAUGCUGCUCUCAUCAUCGUUGAGAACGAAGCUGAGAGCAUGCCAGUGCAAGAGGAAAGGUCGGCUGCAAACGGCCAAAAUUACCUGGACACUUGCCCCGUUUGCCAUCUAAACUUUCACAGUCGAGAGCCUAAACUUCUGCCGUGUCUGCACUCUUUUUGCAAGAAAUGUUUGCCGUCACCUUCCAGGAAUUUGGCCGUGUCAGAGCCGCCAAACUCCCAGGUUGACAGCGCGACCAAACCACUGAAUGUGAUCCGCUGUCCGGUGUGCAGGCAGGAGUGUAUGGAGGUAGAUGUGAUGGAAAACGUCUUUGUGAAGGACUCAGUUGAGGCUCCCAGCAGCACAGUGGAGAGGACAGUCCAGCUCUGUAUGACAUGUGAUGACAACACUGAAGCUGCUGGGUUUUGUGUGGACUGUGUUGAGUACCUCUGUUCCACCUGUGUGGAGGCCCACCAAAGAGUCAAAUUCACCAAAGACCACACCAUCAGACAGAAGACAGAAGUGUCACACGAGGUCCAUGGUGUGUCGACUCAGAGGCCGAUGUUCUGUGACAUCCACAAACAAGAGCCACUGAAGCUGUUCUGUGAGACCUGCGACCUGCUAACAUGUCGUGACUGCCAACUAGUCAAGCACAAGGACCACAAUUACCAGUUCCUGGAAGAUGCUUAUAGAAACCACAAAGAGCACAUGCAGAGCAUGACCCAUCAGCUACAGGAAAAAAGGAAACUAAUUGAAGAAGUGUCAAACUCCAUAAACAAUGGACUUCUUCAGGUUGAUCAGAACCGCAUGUCUGUUCAUAAUGAAAUAAAGAAAUCCAUCUGCAGUUUGAUUCUUGAGAUAAACAAGAAGGGCAAGAUGCUAGUUAAUCAACUUGAGGCUGUAACAAAGGAUCACGAGAGUGUCUUGCGAAAACAACAGGAGGACAUUGGCUAUCUAGCCAGACACCUGGAUCAUGUCAUCAACUUCACCAAAUGGGCCACAGCCAAGAAUGGGGGAACGGCCCUCUUGUACUGUAAACGUUUGAUUCUGUUUCAGAUUGGAAACCUCCUACAGGCAAAAUGUAGUACCUCGUUUAUACCACAAAGCACUGCACGCUUCCAGUGUCGAUCCUCUUAUUGGGCCUCAAAUGUUGAUCUUGGCUCUUUAGUGGUGGAGAGUCUACCAGGCCACCAGCUGGGUGGUUUUCAGGGUAUCCCUCAUCAGCUCUCCCACCUUGGGCAGGGCCCCUCAGGCUCACCCCACAGCUUUGCCCUGGGAGCACCCCAUAGUACUCUGGCUCAGCUCCAGAUGCAAGUGGACAAGCUAAACCCACAGGCCCACUGGCAGGCCCAGCCACCCCCUCCACCCUGGACAUGGUAUCAGAGUGUCAGACUACAGCGAACCGUCCCAGGGCCCCUGCAAGGAGGGUCUCCAUCCCACAGUAUGCCUCCCCAACCAGGCCGCAGGUUUAUGGUGCCUCCUCCAAACCACGUCAGUCCAACUAACAGCUUACCGAGUCCUGGGUUUAUGCCCCAGCCUCUGAGGGAUAUGGGUAGCAACUCCAGCUACCAACCCAAACCUAUGGACGUAUUUUCCUCUUCCCCUUUCUACACCCAUAUAACACCGCUGCCGAUCAAUCGUGACGUUGGUUUGCCACAAUCACGACAGAUGGUUGAGCCCACAUAUCUGAAUAGAAGGAAAGAUUCAGUUGGUCCAUACAUGUUGGAACCAAACAAUCCCCAGAGCCUGCCACCUUCUUUGCUACACAGAAAUGUGCAAGGACAACAUAAUUCACCAGGGUACACUGAUUCCCAGGAGGAGAAACCAGGUAUUGUUUCCUGGAGACCUCCAGAACCACAACAGGCUAGUGGAGCAGUGGGAUCAGCUGUCAAGAAAAGACGAAGGUUGUCUCCAGGGCCCAUCAUAGUCAUCAAAGAUGAGCCAGAUGAUGACAGGAGCUACGUGCAAACAAACCAAAAAGCCAGCCUCCCUGAUAGCACAGGUGACCAACCCCAAAUCAGUACCCAAGGUGAGGGGAUGAAAGUCCCAACUCCUCUUCAAAACAUGGAUGACAAACCCCAAUGCCCUUCACAGCCUCUAAGCAACCCACGGGACCAGAGCAAGACUAAUCACAUCUGUUCACUUGGAGGAGAACAGCAGCCUGUAGACCAGCACCAAUCUCUUCUGGAAGACUCUAACAAAGCCUUCUGUGUGGUGUGUCAGACUGGGGGAGAGCUGCUGUGCUGCGAUAAGUGUCCCAAGGUGUUUCACCUUUCGUGCCAUGUUCCAACUCUACUGAAACCUCCCAGUGGGGAAUGGUUUUGCUCUUUCUGCCGUGACCUGCUGGUGCCUGAGAUGGAGUAUGAAAGCAAACCCGAAGCCAGAAAAGUAAAGAAGGAGCCAGAUGAAGGAGGAUUUUCCCCUGUGGACAAACGAAAGUGUGAGAGGCUGUUGCUACACUUGUUUUGCAGUGACCUGAGUUCCAACUUUCAAGAGCCUGUGUCCCCUACGGUACAUGCUAAUAGCAGGCUGACUAUAAAUGGACUGAUGUAUCUUUCCCCUGUGAAAAAACGACUAGAGGCUAAGCAGAGUCUGUGCUAUCAAAGCCCUGCAGAGUUUAUAUCAGAUAUCAGGCUCAUCUUUCAGAAUUUUGCAGUCCUCCUUGAGGCUGACACAGAGGUCACCAUGGCAGGCAGGAAGCUUAAGGAGCAGUUUGAAGAGCACUUGAGGAUCGUCUUCCCUGACCAGACCUUCCCACAAAUCAAACUGGAGAUGAUGCAUACUUCCCCUCUUGACUCUCAACUCUCAUCUCUUGACCAUAUAUCCCAGCCUGCAAAGCGCCAGCACACGUGUUCAGACUCCCAGGAUAGACCAAGCUGGCCUAGUGGAGAGGAGGGAGCAGUAUGAAAGCACAAAUGUUUUAAAUUCUUAGAUAUUUGACAACACUGCCAGCACCAGCUAAUAUGUGCGAACAAGUCCUUUGAGCACCACCGGGCAGCCCUCUGACUGCCUGACUGUGUUAGUGGCCCUCUGCUGAUUGACACAGACCUGGCAAGACAAGCUUUGUUGAGCUUCAAAGGAACUGUACUGCACCCCCAACAACAAGAUUAACACUGUUUGAUUGCGACCUAGGCCACUCCAAUUUCCUCCACCUGUGAGCAAGGAAGUCAGCUCACACUGCUGUUUCUUGUUUUUGCCCAAAUGUAGAUUGGAGGUGGAGAGGAGGGCUAACAGGCAUGAGAAGUUGCCAUCAGAUGUUGACCAAGCUCUAGCCAGGCUUGGAGCCUGACACUGGUCUGGCUCUCAUUUUGGGCAUUCUUGAUUCAUUAUGGCCUCUAAAGGACUAUUAUCUCUUCUACACUACACUAAGGCAAAGAUAAGAUUAAUGACAGGUCUGCAGGAAAGGGGUGCCCUUUGUUGGUGUAAAUACUGUUACAUUACAAAGGUCUAGCAUCAGAGGUCCUACUGCACAGAUUAAAUAUGUAUCCAGGAUCAUAAAGGUGUCCUUUCAUGUUUGUUUUUUUCAUUUACUAAAAUAUUUAACGUCACUUUUCAAGGUAUGCUGGAGUUUUGGGAUUUUUCACUCCAGACACUGGUUUUCAUUAAUUUUUGCUAAGGUAUUAGCAUCAACCUGCAGAAGUUAGGUAAUC